GACGAACGCUGGCGGCGUGCCUAAUACAUGCAAGUAGAACGCACAGGAUGCACCGUAGUUUACUACACCGUAUUCUGUGAGUUGCGAACGGGUGGGUAACGCGUAGGUAACCUGCCUGGUAGCGGGGGAUAACUAUUGGAAACGAUAGCUAAUACCGCAUAAGAACAUUUACUGCAUGGUAGAUGUUUAAAAGGUGCAAAUGCAUCACUACCAGAUGGACCUGCGUUGUAUUAGCUAGUAGGUGAGGUAACGGCUCACCUAGGCGACGAUACAUAGCCGACCUGAGAGGGUGAUCGGCCACACUGGGACUGAGACACGGCCCAGACUCCUACGGGAGGCAGCAGUAGGGAAUCUUCGGCAAUGGGGGGAACCCUGACCGAGCAACGCCGCGUGAGUGAAGAAGGUUUUCGGAUCGUAAAGCUCUGUUGUUAAGGAAGAACGAGUGUGAGAAUGGAAAGUUC
rnacentral:rRNA from 1 species